UUCGGAGGGGGCUAGCGUUGUUCGGAAUUACUGGGCGUAAAGCGCACGUAGGCGGCUUUGUAAGUUAGAGGUGAAAGCCCGGGGCUCAACUCCGGAAUUGCCUUUAAAACUGCAUCGCUAGAAUUGUGGAGAGGUGAGUGGAAUUCCGAGUGUAGAGGUGAAAUUCGUAGAUAUUCGGAAGAACACCAGUGGCGAAGGCGACUCACUGGACACAUAUUGACGCUGAGGUGCGAAAGCGUGGGGAGCAAACAGG
rnacentral:rRNA from 1 species